GAUGGGGGUAGGUAGUCAUAUACUUGUGGAUUCGAUCUUUGUUUGCACAAACUGGUGGUUCCACUGGAUGAUCAGGAUCCUCUUGCUCCCUUGUAUGUAAACUGGGAUGCGCGUUGUUGCUUGGUUUAAGCCUUUUACAUGAUACUCAGAUUAACUUUGUUAACAACUAUCUUAUUGAGGUGUCUUUCCUCAUAAUAUUUUGAUGGAUAAACUUUAUGUUUGCAUUUCUUGUGCUACCUUCUCUAGCUGUCCUGUCUGUCUAAACUUUUUACGACAAUGGCAGCUGUUGUUUGGAACUCUGGAGUGAUAAGGUGGAUGUGAUACGAAAAUACAUAUACAAGAUGAAUCUGUACAGUUUUUGUCAUCAUGUGAUGAAAAAAGGUGGACCGGCAUGUGCAUCACAACAUGUUAUCCUUUGUGGAUGGCAAUAAACAAGAAAAGGUACAGGGAGAAAAUGAUAGAAAUAGAGUUGAAGUUUUCUAGGUAUGAGAUACAGUCAUGAAUUUGAUUAAUGAGUCAUGACACAAGGCGGCGGCGGCAACAACACUUAUGAAUAACAAAUUUUAGUGCGAACUGUUCUUAUGCAUAUUUUUUCCCACAUUUUCCACAUCACGAUGCAAAAAUGGGUGGUUCUGUGGUGGAUCCACCUCGGAUUAGCUUGAUUAAACAUGAUUAAGUCGCCUAAUAUGCGACACUCAUGCCUUAGCCAAGUUAACACAAAGUGCCAUCGGAUUUCAUUCGAUUUAACCACUUGAACAGGACCGAGUUAGCAAACUCACACGAAGGUGAGUGGUUCCAGAGAAUACAACAAGUCCACUGAGUUAAACAGUUUGACCAUUUAGUUCAACACUUUAAACAACAUCAGAGUUUUACAAGGUUCAAAAGAAAACAACAAAAGGUAAAACAGCAAGCGGAAACUACUUCGUCGGGGUCGGACAUCCCUAGUGAGGCCAGCCAGGACGUCAGUGAUCCCUCUCCUCGCCGUCCGAGGAGGGAUCCCACUCAACCGUCCAACCCGGAGGGAGUUGGGGCGGCCAAGUGCCAACAGAAGAAGACUCGGGAGCAGCAACUUCACCUGAAAAAGAAAAGCCACAACCAGGCUGAGCUACUAAGCUCAACAAGACUUAACCGAAAGGAGGACGCUACUCCACCACUUCUAGACAUGCGAGGCCCUCUGGCUGAGGGGUUUGCUUGCCAAAAGCACUACGCAGAUCCCUAUUUUCAAAGUUUUAGCUCAGGUUCUAAGUUCAUUAUCCAGUCUAGGUUAGCAACUUACUCUAAGCAAAUAUAGAACCAACCAAAAGGUAUGUAUAUCAUCAUCAAGACCAUGUCAUCAUCAGAUUCCUUUAUUACUCAGUGUAGCAUAGCGAUCAAGUAGUCUCAAACUGUGAGAGGCAGACGAAUCGAUUCGAGUUCUUUAACCAUGCAUGGUGAACCUAACCUCACGACAUCCGCGCCCCACCGAGGGUCGCUUCCUGUGUCAGCCUUCCCCAUCAAUCCCCUAACCCAUGUCGGGCCCAUUUCCUUUGGUGCAAUGUUCCACAGACCCGACCUCUGCCGUUCUGUGACCACACUUGCCACCACGUGCGGCCGCAGGGGAACUCCGUUCCAAGAACAAUGGGGCGACCGCUCACGUCUAGGUUCAAUCCGGUACUCGGCUUCCUCAUCCCAUAAUAAGUAUGAGGUUAGUACUUUCAAACACUUGAUCACGAACACCACCACUGUCGGGCCUUAAUAAGUUCCAUAGACAGACGGGGCGAUCAGCCGACCACCAAAGAGUUAACCAAAACCCUGUCCUGUCCAUCGUCCUUAUAGUUGUUACAGAAAGGAAACAACCAACUCCUACAACUCGCGAGUGACAGGAAAUCAUUCGACUUUUACCGCUUCCUAUUUAAGCAUAGCAACUACUCGGACCCAACAUACUAGUGCGCAGAACAAGGGAUCUAAGUCAUGCAUCUAGGGUUGCAAACAACUCCUAUACGUAAAUGCACAAACAAGAUGCAGAAGGCAUGCGCAAGUUUGGUAAACUGGGGUUCAUGCUCCGGGGCUUGCCUUCGAACGAGGAGGAGGGAAAGGGGUCUUCGGCGGGGGCGGCUUCGGCUUCUGGAAGCGGGAGCUCUGCUACAGCUUCGUCUUCUGGCGCCGGGUGCAGCUCGUAGAAGCCGUCGGCGAGACGCAGCUCUACACGAAUGCAAUGCAAGAGUUAGCAUUUAGACGGUUAUUUCAACAACAACACUUGCAAGUUCUAGCUCAGAAACUUUGUAGCAUAGCUACGGAAAAAAGGUGGGGAAGUUCGCUUGGGUUGGAGAAGAACAAGGUAAAAGGGUCGGAUGGAAGGAAGCCGAUGAUCUGACCCUUAGACUAGAGGAAUAGAUGUGUUGGGGGUCCUCAGACUUAACGCCGAGAAGUCCCCAUUUUUACACAUAUACCCUCGGGUUAAGGAAAAAGAUACAGCCGAGCUCUCGGGCGAGGCGGAGAAAGGGUCGGCGAAACAGGCAGGGUUGGGCGAGACGGAACAGGGGUCGGGCGGAUAGAAGGGGUCGGACGAGGCGGAAAAAGGGUCGGCAGCUUACCUUUGUCCUACAGGUGAAGCUUGGGGUCGGGAAGAAGCAGACUUGGGUGGAAGGACUAAAGCUUUGGACAGCGGCGAGGUCCGGCAGGGUUCUGGCGGUGGCGGUGCUUCUUAUGGACCACAAGCAAGCUCUUGCGCAGCAUGGAGGAGCAAGUGGCUGGGUGGAUUGCGGGAACAGCAGCGUGGGGUAGAGAGGAGAGUUCCUCAGGGACUUAGGCGGUAGCGCUUUGAGCACGAAACAGAGAGCAAGGCGGAAGGGCAGCGAUGGCGAAGGGGACUCCGGCGGAGCUCUGGCAUUCCCUUUUAUAGCUGCGCGGAAGAGUGAGAAGGUUGGAGCGGCGCGAAGACCGGGAAGAAGCGAUCGAGUGCUCUGCCAGGGCGGAGAUUGAGCAGCGGUGCGGCAGAGCAGGGCUUCGAGGAUGACACCAGCGGUCAUUGGGCACCAGGGACGGGGCGGCGCAGGCGCGGUUUUGCCGGUGGUUGAGAUUUGGCGGAGGCGGGCAUCGUUGUGUGGUGGAUCUGAUGGAAGUGACCGGGGAAACGGCGCUAGAAGCGAGGGCGCACAGGUGAGAAGACAGGCAGCUGCGGUCGUGCGGGCGAGCGCGGAGCAACAGAUUGUCGGGGGCGUAGCUCUGACAGGGCGGAAAAGGAGCUGUCGCGGCCGGGGUCUGGGUUGGCGGAGGAGGAAUCGUCGCAUAGCGUAUCUGGGGUGGCGUGAUGGUGGAGAAGCGGCAAAAAAGACGGGAGGCGUCGGGCUCUGCAGCCGGGGUCCGGCGAGCUGAUGAUGGGCGCGAGCCGCGAGGUACUGCAGAAAGGGUAGCAGAGGAGCUUCCGCUGCGAUUGGGGAAAGGGGCGCGAGAAUCCAUCCGUUCGUGGCCGGCGACGAGGCGGAGCGGCGGGUGUCGGAGAAGUUGAGCCACGUGGCGGAGAAGCUCUGAGGCGGGCAGGCUACUCGAGUGCGUCUGCCGCGGGAGAUCUGGGAGAAGGAUUUUGUGGGUCCACCGGUCAGUCUCGGUUGGUCCACUGCUCCGAUUGAGAGAGAGGCGUUGCGGGAAGACUUAGAAGGAUUCGGCGGGUGAGUUGGGGUCGGCGGGGUCGGAACGGGGAACCAGCUGAGAAGGGUUGGGUCUCAGGGGUCGGGACCAGACUGGAGGUUGAGUACUUAAACUCGGUAAGGCUGAGACAGGGGAUUAGGGACUCGGAUUAAGAUUAACUCAUGAGAUUUGGGGUCGGUCGUCACAGGUUCUUUCACGCAGCAGAAAGUAUAGCAAGCUCUUUCUCAGUAAUUCUGAAGCCAAAGAGUGUAUAGCACUUUCUGAAAGUUCAAAUCCUAGGGUAAAGCAAAGUUUUGUCCCAGUGUAUGUCUCAAUAAUACUAGGUAGAACACCAAGAGGGCCUAAGAUCAGUGAUGUGCAGACACUUGUUUGUAAUAAUACUAGGUAGAGCAUUUUGUUUCUAUGACCUAUCCAGGAGUUAGGCUCAUGUACGCCCUGCAAGCAGAGGGUGAGCUUAAAGCAGCCCUGAAGUAAGAAGCACUUAGUUCAAUUGUUGGAGAGUCCAAGUCGACUUACUGUACAUGGAUACUUGGAUAGAGUUAAGUGGAUGGGAUAGAUAGGCUUAUACUUGUUGAUUCUUUGUUUUGUUGCCACAAACUGAUGGUGCCGCUGGAUGAUAAGUAGUUUGGCUGUUCUUGUUAUUGUCUUGCUAAGGACAUGGACAACUAGAUAGACUUAGGUGGAUGGGGGUAGGUAGUCAUAUACUUGUGGAUUCGAUCUUUGUUUGCACAAAAUUGGUGGUCCACUGGAUGAUCACGAGCCUCUUGCUCCAUUGUAUGUAAUCUGGGAUGCGUGUUGUUGCUUGGUUUAAGCCUUUUACAUGAUACUCAGAUUACCUUUGUUAACAACUAUCUUAUUGAGGUGUCUUUCCUCAUAAUAUUUUGGUGUAUAAAAUUUAUGUUUGCAUUUCUUGUUCUACCUUCUCUAGCUAUCCUGUCUGUCUAAACUUUCUACGACAAUGGCAGUUGUUGUUUGGAACUCUUGAGUGAUAAGGUGGAUGUGAUACUGAAAUACAAAUAGAAGAUGAAUCUAUACAGUUUUCAUCAUCAUGUGAUGAAAAAAAAGGUGGACCGGCAUGUGCAUCACAACAUGGUAUCCAUUGUGGAACGUGGUCACUUUGGAUGGCAAUAAACAUGAAAAGGCAUAGGGAGAAAAUGAUAGAAACGGAGAUUGCAGUUUUCUGGGUAUGAG
rnacentral:lncRNA from 1 species